rnacentral:misc_RNA from 1 species
GAUGAAGAACGUAGCGAAAUGCGAUACGUAAUGUGAAUUGCAGAAUUCAGUGAAUCAUCGAGUCUUUGAAUGCACAUUGCGCCCCCUGGUAUUCCGGGGGGCAUGCCUGUCCGAGCGUCAUUGCUGCCCUCAAGCACGGCUUGUGUGUUGGGCCUCCGCCCCCCGGCUCCCGGGGGGCGGGCCCGAAAGGCAGCGGCGGCACCGCGUCCGGUCCUCGAGCGUAUGGGGCUUCGUCACCCGCUCCGUAGGCCCGGCCGGCGCCCGCCGGCGACCCCCCUCGAUCUUUCCAGGUUGACCUCGGAUCAGGUAGGGAUACCCGCUGAACUUAAGCAUAUCAAUAAGCGGAGGA